GGAUUAGAUUUCGGAGUAGCAUCCAGAAGCCAUGUUACUUUUGCGGCACAUCUUGGAGUUUCACCUGACUCGAAAGGAGUGGGAGAAGACACGAACUAUGCCAACGCACAGCGAGGACCACGCGAUUAAGCAGCAAACGGCGGGGCAAUAGGCAUACCAGGAAGUGCUCUGCCAUCCGAUUAACUACCAAAUAGCGAUGUGGGCGGGGCUGUGUCAGCGGAGAGGCGAGGAAGGCUGGCAGCAGGACACGUGGGGAAGGUGCAGGACAGUGGUUGCGUACAGCCACGUGUACCGGAGGAGGCUGAGGAAAACAAGGCUUG